UACGUAGGGUGCAAGCGUUUGUCCGGAAUUAUUGGGCGUAAAGAGCUCGUAGGCGGUCUGUCGCGUCGAAUGUGAAAACCCGGGGCUCAACCCCGGGCCUGCAUUCGAUACGGGCAGACUAGAGUUCGGUAGGGGGAGUCUGGGAAUUCCUGGUGUAGCGGUGAAAUGCGCAGAUAUCAGGAGGAACACCGGUGGCGAAGGCGGGACUCUGGGCCGCAACUGACACUGAGGGACGAAAGCUAGGGGAGCGAAUGGG
rnacentral:rRNA from 1 species